AUUGAACGCUGGCGGCAGGCCUAACACAUGCAAGUCGAGCGGAUGACGGGAGCUUGCUCCUUGAUUCAGCGGCGGACGGGUGAGUAAUGCCUAGGAAUCUGCCUGGUAGUGGGGGAUAACGUUCCGAAAGGAACGCUAAUACCGCAUACGUCCUACGGGAGAAAGCGGGGGACCUUCGGGCCUUGCGCUAUCAGAUGAGCCUAGGUCGGAUUAGCUAGUUGGUGAGGUAAUGGCUUACCAAGGCUACGAUCCGUAACUGGUCUGGGAGGAUGAUCAGUCACACUGGAACUGAGACACGGUCCAGACUCCUACGGGAGGCAGCAGUGGGGAAUAUUGGACAAUGGGCGAAAGCCUGAUCCAGCCAUGCCGCGUGUGUGAAGAAGGUCUUCGGAUUGUAAAGCACUUUAAGUUGGGAGGAAGGGCAGUAAGUUAAUACCUUGCUGUUUUGACGUUACCGACAGAAUAAGCACCGGCUAACUUCGUGCCAGCAGCCGCAGUAAGAC
rnacentral:rRNA from 1 species